UCGAACGGAGGGCUUCGGUCCUCAGUGGCGGACGGGUGAGUAACGCGUAGGGAUCUGCCCCGCAGUGGGGGACAACCUGGGGAAACUCAGGCUAAUACCGCAUACGCUCCACGGAGGAAAGCGGGGGACCUUCGGGCCUCGCGCUGCGGGAUGAACCUACGUCCGAUUAGCUGGUUGGUGGGGUAACGGCCCACCAAGGCGACGAUCGGUAGCUGGUCUGAGAGGACGGCCAGCCACACUGGGACUGAGACACGGCCCAGACUCCUACGGGAGGCAGCAGUGGGGAAUAUUGGACAAUGGGCGCAAGCCUGAUCCAGCAAUGCCGCGUGGGUGAAGACGGCCUGCGGGUUGUAAAGCCCUUUAGGCGGGGAAGAACGGCCGGGCGCGAACAGCGCGCGGCCCUGACGUUACCCGCAGAAUAAGCACCGGCUAACUCCGUGCCAGCAGCCGCGGUAAUACGGAGGGUGCGAGCGUUAAUCGGAAUUACUGGGCGUAAAGCGUGCGUAGGCGGUUCGGUCAGUCAGCCGUGAAAGCCCCGGGCUCAACCUGGGAACGGCGGUUGAGACGGCCGGACUAGAGUGGGCUAGAGGAUCGUGGAAUUCCCGGUGUAGCGGUGAAAUGCGUA
rnacentral:rRNA from 1 species